GGGUGGCUGGACCGCUUAAUG
rnacentral:miRNA from 14 species